rnacentral:tRNA from 1 species
CAAGGCAUAGCUAAGUAUUUUAAAGCAUCUCCCUUACACCGAGAAGUCGAUCGUGAAAACCAAUCUGCCUUGC